UUAAAACACUGUAUCCUUACUGACACUUGUGACUUUUUCCAAGCAAACACAACAGAGGAAAGUUCUGACACUACAGCAGUCGCUGCGUCCACGUGUGCCGUCGUCGGUGUUGUUGUAGCAGUUGCUGUUGGAUAUUUCUUACGGAAGAGAAAUGUCCUAGCCUGUUGUCGGAGCUGCUGUGUGAGUUCGUCUGCUGCUGCUGCUGACGGCAACAAAGAGAUAACGAGGCAAGUGGUUGACACCAAAGACGUCAGCAGCUGCCAGUGGAUGACCGCUACUACUCGGACAACCUCUAUGAGGACAUGAGCUGUUUAGACGACCCCAGAUACCUUCAUUACAAACAAAAGGACACAAGCACAGCGAGCUGACAACAUCUACGAUCACCUGAGCUGCUGAUGCGGGCUGUAAAUCAUUCAUUGUGUAUCAAUGUCAUCACCUUGGUGGUGUUGCUACACAAAGCAGUUUGCUUUUCCAGCCGUUGUCUGUGGAAACAAAUGUUCCUUUUUCAAAUUUUUUUACUUAUUACUUUUAUCUUUAAUUGCAACGCCAUCUUUCUGUCGUGCCCAGCUGUGACAUUCUUCUAUACAAAGGCAUUUAAAAAUCAUUAAAGAUUUUUCAAUUUUCAAAAAUCA